CUGGAACAGUCUGUUAAUAUAAAUGUAGGUGCUUUUAUCCCUCCUCGCUCUGAGCCAAAUGAACCUUGAACUGCUCAUGGCACAGGAGCUGCAAGUCCACAGCUCAAGCCACUCUCUGGGUUAGCUAAUUUUGUUUGUUCGUGUGUCACCAUGGGCACUGCCACUCCAGAGACAUGACCCUGUGGAUAAGAUGGCCAAAUUUUAUGUGAGUUAGACUAGGAAGGGUCUUGCCAGAUGGUCCUGAAUCUGUUUUCUCCAUACAGGAUCCCGAACGUCUUAUUGACACGCCGGAAGGUGGAAGACUGGCGAUGUCUGAACCUAGCACGUGUAGCUGCAGACACAAGAGAUGGGUGUCAUCAUGUUCCAAGGGUGGAAACAGGGCGGCAGGCCACCAUAUGUGAGAACAUAGCAAGAAGAGAAAGACUGAUGCAAGUCAA
rnacentral:lncRNA from 1 species